rnacentral:rRNA from 1 species
UCUGGUAAUUCUGGCGAGAAGGUCACACCCGUUCCCAUACCGAACACGGAAGUUAAGCUUCUCAGCGCCGAUGGUAGUUGGGACUUUGUCCCUGUGAGAGUAGGACGUUGCCAGGC